AACCUAGCACACCUGCGGUGUGUACCUGCGGAAGGAUCAUUACUGAGUGCGGGCCCGCUCCGGGCCCAACCUCCCACCCGUGUCUCUUGCGUACUUUGUUGCUUUGGCGGGCCCACUGGGUCACUCCGGUCGCCGGGGAGCGCUAUGCUCCCGGGCCCGUGCCCGCCAGAGCACCCCUGUGAACCCUGAUGAAGAGAGGCUGUCUGAGUCCCACGAUAAUCGUUAAAACUUUUAACAACG
rnacentral:misc_RNA from 1 species